rnacentral:rRNA from 1 species
CCUCCUUGUGUCCUCCUUGCGGCAUCUUGGUCAAUGGCCGAGAGGCUGAACCAGCCAAGUCGCGUGAGGGAAGAAUGUCCUAUGGAUUGUAAACCUCUUUUGUCAGGGAGCAAAGUCACCCACGUGUGGGUGUUGGAGAGUACCUGAAGAAAAAGCAUCGGCUAACUCCGUGCCAGCAGCCGCGGUAAUACGGAGGAUGCGAGCGUUAUCCGGAUUUAUUGGGUUUAAAGGGUGCGUAGGCGGGUUAUCAAGUCAGCGGUAAAAUCGUGGAGCUCAACUCCAUCCAGCCGUUGAAACUGAUGAUCUUGAGUGGGCGAGAAGUAUGCGGAAUGCGUGGUGUAGCGGUGAAAUGCAUAGAUAUCACGCAGAACUCCGAUUGCGAAGGCAGCAUACCGGCGCCCGACUGACGCUGAAGCACGAAAGCGUGGGUAUCGAACAGGAUUAGAUACCCGGGUAGUC